GGAAUAUUGGACAAUGGGCGCAAGCCUGAUCCAGCCAUGCCGCGUGUGUGAAGAAGGCCUUCGGGUUGUAAAGCACUUUCAGCGGGGAGGAAGGGUGGUGUGUUAAUAGCACAGCAUUUUGACGUUACCCGCAGAAGAAGCACCGGCCAACGCCGUGCGAGCAGCCGCGGUAACACGGAGGGUGCAAGCGUUACUCGGAAUUACUGGGCGUAAAGCGCACGUAGGCGGUAUGUUAAGUUGGAUGUGAAAGCCCCGGGCUCAACCUGGGAAUUGCAUUCAAAACUGGCAUGCUAGAGUAUGUGAGAGGGGGGUAGAAUUCCAAGUGUAGCGGUGGAAUGCGUAGAGAUUUGGAGGAAUACCAGUGGCGAAGGCGGCCCCCUGGCACAAUACUGACGCUCAGGUGCGAAAGCGUGGGGAGCAAA
rnacentral:rRNA from 1 species